GUAUUUAAUAACUCAAAAUAACAAAACGUUAUAUGUUGUUGUAACAUUUAAACUUAAAAAACGUUUUCAUUUUUUUGCACUGCAUGGAUCACCGGUGCGAUUGAAUGCAGCAUUGCUGUAUGGUGCACUCAAAAUGUAUUGUAUUUGAGUAGCCACCUAGGCUGCUGCUCUAAUGUUGCUGUAAUAGGCCUACAUGUUUGUCCUUUGCAUGGUGCUUUGUUGCAGGUUGUUUUUUGGUGAUUGUCAAGCUUUAAAAACCGAAGCCAGACUGCAACAUUUUAGUAGCCUAGCUAGGACUGUGGAUUAUGUGUCUGUACACUUUCCUUCCGCUGCGCGCUGUAAAUGGGACACAAGAAUGCAAUAAAUUAAAGUUAAAUUCACCGAUGAUAGCGCAUCAGGCUGUAAUGAGAGCCGUUUCUCCCUGUCAGCCAGAGUGCUGGUAUAGAGACUGUGCCUUUGCGCUCUUCAUUUGCGUUGGAUGGUUACUGCGACGCGGCACAGCUGGACAGAUUCAUUCCACGACCAGACAGUGGUCAUAUGCCUCUGGGUUGCAGUGAUGCGCAGCUGGACGCAGAUGACGGCCACAUCCUCUCGAAGUUGCACCAAUGCGUAGCUACAGGCCUCUUUGCUGUGGGGUACUUUGUGUGUCCACUCAUGCUGAACUAAAGCACCCUUAAAAUUUGAUAUGAGGAAUAGGUUUGAAACUAAAGUUUGUUUUUAAAUGAGUAUUUGCAAAGAAAUAAAUGUUAACUAUAAUCGA